rnacentral:rRNA from 1 species
UGAUUCAUGACUGGGGUGAAGUCGUAACAAGGUAGCCCUAGGGGAACCUGGGGCUGGAUCACCUCCUUA